rnacentral:rRNA from 1 species
CAGCAGCCGCGGGAAUACGAAGGGUGCAAGCGUUAAUCGGAAUUACUGGGCAUAAAGCGUGCGUAGGCGGUGAGUUAAGUCUGCUGUGAAAUCCCCGGGCUCAACCUGGGAAUGGCAGUGGAUACUGGCUCGCUAGAGUGUGUCAGAGGAUGGUGGAAUUCCCGGUGUAGCGGUGAAAUGCGUAGAGAUCGGGAGGAACAUCAGUGGCGAAGGCGGCCAUCUGGGACAACACUGACGCUGAGGCGCGAAAGCGUGGGGAGCAAACAGGAUUAGAUACCCGAGUAGUCCCUGUCUCUUAUAC